AAUAUUUAUACGGUGAUGAUGAAACCUCGUCUUUAUCGAGAUAUUAUCUUUUCUUUUAUAUCCAUUUUCAUUGCAUUAUUGCAAUUCUUCUCUCCAGUUCAGAGCUCCAGUUUAGAGAAAAAAAAAAUCAAAUACACAAAUCGCCAUGAUUCAAAACCAUUAUUUCUCCCCAUAUCUAUCAACCUUUUUUUUUUUCCCAAAACCGAUACAUUCAAAACGUCUUUUUUUCGGUUUUCAAUCUUCAUCAGAAGACCUUUAGGUGGAUUUAUGUUCAGGUAUAACAUCUCCAUCUCUUUGAUUCAAUUUUGUUGGUGUUAAAUUGGAUUCCUCUUAACCUAAUCAACACGAAGAAAUCUAAGUUUCUUAGAAAGAUUUCUCUAUUUCGCGAGGUUGGUCUGCUAUAAUGUUUUUCUGGUAUUGAAAAGGGUUUUGACUGAACGGCUUCAACAAUUUCAUGAGAAACAAAUGUUAAGUCAUUCAAUUUUGGUAUGGGUUUUCAAUUUUUCUCUAUGGGUUUUCUUAAAUGGAAAGUUGUGCUUGAUUGGGGUUUUCCUGGCAUUUAUCUGUAUUGUUGUUGCUAUGGAGGUGCUUCUUGUUAGGUUAGUUACGGGUAUAUGGUUAUGGCUAGUGGGGGCAGAUGCUCUGUGGUCUGUGAAGUUUGAGUUUGGGAGGAAGGACAGGAGGGGGGAACUAUGCGCACCUGGUUAAUCUAGUUCCAAGGAAGGUAUUUUGCAAUACCCAUUAUCACAUUUGAUCUUGUGAAGUUUGAGUUUGGAAUUUGGGAGGUUUAAUUAUAGUCGUGGCUGAUGAAGCUGUGAUUCACCAUACUUGGGUUGAGCUAGAGCUCAAACAGAUACAUGUUGUCGGGAUAUAUGGCUGGGGUAGUGUAUGUGAGACGAUUGAUGGGGAAUUGUUAGAAUAUAGUUCACACAAUCAGCUGGCUUGCGGGAGUAUCAGUGACGGCCUUGUGAAAACAUCAUCUGCUCUUGUUGGAACAUUAUUGAAGACGUAUCAGCGCAGUGGUGGCGCAGGAUCAACAUUGGCAAGUGCUGUUUGUGCAGCUCCUGUUGCUGCCGUAGCAUGAACCUGUUUCAGCAUACGCAGAGGUAAUGGUGUGCGACCUUGGACUAAGUUCAUACUGUAGUCGGCAUGUAAUUCUGCACUAAUGAAAGUCACAGGUGAGUAAAGAUUCUAUUGGCCAUGUUUGUGUAGACUGUUCUGGUGAUUUAUCUAGAAUUUUGGUGUUGCGGCUGAUGGUGCCUUACAAUUGAUGUAAUUAUCCGAAGUUGUUUAAAUAGUGUCCUAAUUCUGAAGCAAGUCUACUGCACUGAUAGCUAGUUUAAGUAGUUGUAGUAUAUUGGUGUUGCUUAAUGUAGUAAAGUGUAUGACAGCUGAUUGAAUUAUUUUACUUGUUUUAGAUUAAGAGAAUCAAGCUUAUAUGCAUUCCAAAGGUUUUUGCACCAGAACAUCAAACCAGAUAAUUUACUUAUGCAUAUAGGACAGAAAAUCAAUCAAUUACUGAAUUUCUUUCCUUUGCAUCUUAUUGAGUUGUAUGGAGUUAAAGUUUUCUAUUUUUCUUCAUUUUUUCUUUUCGCAAUUUUUUUUUUGUGAACCCAUCAUGUGCCAGAAUAUCCCCAAGAUUUUCACUGAUAAUUCUUUGGUUUAUUUGUGAUGUUAGAAAUGUGAAGUACCGAGUAUUUGGUUUUUGUACUUACCCUUAAGGUUACCACAUGUUGGAAAAAAGCCAUUGGACUGGUAGGCAUGCCUAUGGAAACUAGUAGGCGUGACUGAUAUGGUGCUCAAAGGACCGGGAAAGCUUAAACUGCAAAUGGUCAAGGAAGUGGUGAAAAUUCCAAGAUGGAGUAUGAAAGUCAAAGUUUGAUCAUAUAAAUGGUAAUGACUGCAGUUCAUAUGCAUUCAAAAGGUUUUUCGCACCAGAACAUCAAACCAGAUAAUUUACUUAUGCAUAUUGGACAGAAAACCAAUCAAGUUGGAAAAAAGCCAAAUUUGCACUGGUAGGCAUGCCUCUGGAAACUAGUACGCGCGGCUGAUAUGGUGCUCAAAGGACCGAGAAAGCUUAAACUGAAAAUGGUCAAGGAAGUAAUACACUACCUGUAUACAUCUUCUGCACCUUUUUAACGGCAAGUAUUUAAGGAAUUUUUUGCAGUAUAUGAUAAAUGGAUAAUACAUUAAUGUGUACACAUAUUGCUCAGGUGGUGAAAAUUCCAAGAUGGAGCAUGAAAAUUAAAGGACCUGAUUUGAGCUAGUUUCUCAGAAAAUGAAGGCAUAGAUGGUGCAGGUUUUUGUUUGCAGCUUAGUGUGUUGAAGUUUUUAUGGUUAGACUUGUAAUACAGAAAUGUAUGUUAAGGUUUUCCAACUUAGUAUUGAAGUUUUCCAGAUUUGGAACUUGCAGUAUUUUAGAUAACUGAUUUGUAAAGUGAAUACACUUUUCAAUACAAAUUGAGUUUUAAAGU